ACGGUGUCGUUUUAUUCAAAAUAAAAAAAAUUUUACAACGCCGCUAAAAGUAACAAAAAAAUAAUUUCACUUAAAAAAAAUAGGGCCAUUUUAUAAAACUCCUCCCUCCCUCCGAAAUCCCAACUUUUCCCCCCUAAAAUCAGUAUCCCUAAAUAUUUUGUGUUGAUUGACAAGAUUUCUACUUUUCCCCCUAAAAUCGGUAUCCUCAAAACACCUAAUUCUUACUGAGCAACCCCUAAAAUCAGUUCUUAAAUUUCAUCGCCUCUUUCUUCUUCUUCUUCUUCUUCUUCUUCUUAUAUCUUUCUUUCCUUCUUGUUUAUAUAUAGAGAGCUGAAGCCAGUUCUGGGUGGCUUCUUCACUCUCUUUUCCAUGCCCCAAGAUCUUUUUUUUUUUUGGUAAACAAACCAGCAAACCCAAACUCACAAGGGUUUUUUGUCUCUUCCUCCAACUUCAAAUUUCAACUCCAAAUAUUGCAGGCGUUCUGUGAUGCUUGUUCUUUGGUUUCUGUUAUUUUUAACUCCCUCGGUCUCGCCUUCAAAUUCGCGAAGAUGGAGUACGUUGCCAAGGUAGGUAAUCUUGUGGAAGCAUCAAAGAGGUUUGCCACUUUAGAAAAUAUAGUUGAUGCAGAUGUAGGUAAUGGGCAGUGAAAAAACAGAGAAGCCCUUCGCGUGAUCUGCGUCGUGUUAGACAGGGUCUUCACCUCGUACGAGCUUUAUUUGAACAAUUUUUGUCAUCCAACUUCAACAGCUUAUGCUCAAGUAUGUGCACCGUAUCACACAUGGGCGGUUUGACAAGGAACUGAACAAGUAAGUUGCUAUUAAAGUUAUUAAUUUAGAAGAAUCGUCCAAUCUACAUCUGAUGGAGCUGAUUCCACUAUUUCAAACCCCCUGUGCGAGGAGUCUGCUCAAAAUUUUUCAAAAUACUCUAACAGACAGAGCAUACAUCCACCACCUGCCUUUGGCUCAUCGCCUAAUCUUGAAGCCCUUGCACUUGAAGCAAAUAAGUCUAAGGAUCAAGAUGGAGAUAGUUCUUUACUUGACAGUUCACAUCUUUCCCGGCCCAUGCAUGAAGUUACAUUUUCAACAGAAGACAAACCAAAACUUCUUAGUCAGGUUUUAUUGUGGCAUGUUUAUGUAUUCUAUAUAUCAACUUCUAUAGCAGAGGCUUAAGUCUUUGUUUUGAGCAGGUAAGUACAUGGAACUAUUUUUUAUCCUUGUUGUUCAUGUUUUAUUUUGAUUUUUCUGUGAUUAAACUCUAGUACUCAGGGCAGUAGUUGUUGGGAUGUAAAAUCUGUUGUCUAUCUGCCUAAAUAUAUGACAAAAGGUAGAAGUACAUAUUGGAGAUACUCUCACAUGCACAUUCAUUCGUUUGAAACACGAUAUCUAGUUAUUUGUCUUUGAACUGAGUUGGAUUUUUCCAUGCUUAUGUAGGAACACAUGCCCUAUGCCCUAUUUUCGUUUAAGGACCGCCAAG